UGGUGGCUUAGGUUUAGGGGCUUCACCGCCUUCUGAUGCUGCAGUGGUGGUAGCUGGUGCUGGUGCAGCAGCCUCGUCAGCUGCCCUCGUCACCACAAGCCUGGAAUUGUUGUUGUUCUUUGAAGGGAAAAACACGGUGGUGGUCUUAGAAGUGGAGCUUGAAUUCGCUGCGACAUUGGGUGUGAGCAAGAACCCUGAAGCAGCUGAUGCCAUGCUGGAGGUAGCCAUGUAUUCACUCUCUGUUGCAAAUGGAAAAGGGGUUAAAGUUUAGCAGAUGAUUAGUUGAAGUGAAAAAGAA
rnacentral:lncRNA from 1 species